rnacentral:rRNA from 1 species
UGGAUCCAGACUUUGAUUAUGGCUCAGGACGAACGCUGGCGGCGUGCCUAACACAUGCAAGUCGAACGGAGCUCCGCCCUUCGGGACGGAACUUAGUGGCGAACGGGUGAGUAACGCGUGAAGAACCUGCCUUCCAGUGGGGGACAACAGUUGGAAACGAUUGCUAAUACCGCAUGAUGCUUUCGAGGGGCAUCCCUUGAAAGUCAAAGCUUUAAGUGCUGGAAGAUGGCUUCGCGUCUGAUUAGCUAGUUGGCGGGGUAACGGCCCACCAAGGCGACGAUCAGUAGCCGGUCUGAGAGGAUGAACGGCCACAUUGGGACUGAGAUACGGCCCAGACUCCUACGGGAGGCAGCAGUGGGGAAUAUUGGGCAAUGGGCGAAAGCCUGACCCAGCAACGCCGCGUGAAGGAAGAAGGCCUUCGGGUUGUAAACUUCUUUUACCAGGGACGAAGGACGUGACGGUACCUGGAGAAGAAGCAACGGCUAACUACGUGCCAGCAGCCGCGGUAAUACGUAGGUUGCAAGCGUUGUCCGGAUUUACUGGGUGUAAAGGGCGUGUAGGCGGAGGCGCAAGUUGGGAGUGAAAUCUAUGGGCUCAACCCAUAAACUGCUCUCAAAACUGUGUCCCUUGAGUAUCGGAGAGGCAAGCGGAAUUCCUAGUGUAGCGGUGAAAUGCGUAGAUAUUAGGAGGAACACCAGUGGCGAAGGCGGCUUGCUGGACGACAACUGACGCUGAGGCGCGAAAGCGUGGGGAGCAAACAGGAUUAGAUACCCUGGUAGUCCACGCUGUAAACGAUGAAUACUAGGUGUGGGAGGACUGACCCCUUCCGUGCCGCAGUUAACACAAUAAGUAUUCCACCUGGGGAGUACGACCGCAAGGUUGCAACUCAAA